rnacentral:misc_RNA from 1 species
GAUGAAGAACGUAGCGAAAUGCGAUAAGUAGUGUGAAUUGCAGAAUUCAGUGAAUCAUCGAAUCUUUGAACGCACAUUGCGCCCAUUAGUAUUCUAGUGGGCAUGCCUGUUCGAGCGUCAUUUCAACCCUUAAGCCUAGCUUAGUAUUGGGAAUCGACUUUACUGUCGUUCCUCAAAUUCAACGGCGGAUUUAUAGCAAUCUCUGAACGUAGUAAUUUUUUUCCUCGUUUUUGAAAUACUAUAAACCUCAGCCGCUAAACCCCCAAUUUUUUUAUGGUUGACCUCGGAUCAGGUAGGAAUACCCGCUGAACUUAAGCAUAUCAAUAAGCGGAGGA